CAGUCGAGCGAUUUACUUCGGUAAAGAGCGGCGGACGGGUGAGUAACGCUUGGGUAACCUGCCCUAUACACACGGAUAACAUACCGAAAGGUAUGCUAAUACGGGAUAACAUAAGAGAUUCGCAUGGAUUUCUUAUCAAAGCUUUUGCGGUAUAGGAUGGACCCGCGUCUGAUUAGCUAGUUGGUAAGGUAACGGCUUACCAAGGCGACGAUCAGUAGCCGACCUGAGAGGGUGAUCGGCCACAUUGGAACUGAGACACGGUCCAAACUCCUACGGGAGGCAGCAGUGGGGAAUAUUGCACAAUGGGCGAAAGCCUGAUGCAGCAACGCCGCGUGAGCGAUGAAGGCCUUCGGGUCGUAAAGCUCUGUCCUCAAGGAAGAUAAUGACGGUACUUGAGGAGGAAGCCCCGGCUAACUACGUGCCAGCAGCCGCGGUAAUACGUAGGGGGCUAGCGUUACCCGGAAUUACUGGGCGUAAAGGGUGCGUAGGUGGUUUCUUAAGUCAGAGGUGAAAGGCUACGGCUCAACCGUAGUAAGCCUUUGAGACUGAGAAACUUGAGUGCAGGAGAGGAGAGUAGAAUUCCUAGUGUAGCGGUGAAAUGCGUAGAUAUUAGGAGGAAUACCAGUUGCGAAGGCGGCUCUCUGGACUGUAACUGACACUGAGGCACGAAAGCGUGGGGAGCAAACAGGAUUAGAUACCCUGGUAGUCCACGCCGUAAACGAUGAGUACUAGCUGUCGGAGGUUACCCCUUCGGUGGCGCAGCUAACGCAUUAAGUACUCCGCCUGGGAAGUACGCUCGCAAGAGUGAAACU
rnacentral:rRNA from 1 species